ACCUGACUGGCUCAGCUGGUAGAGCAUGUGACUCGUGAUCUCAGGGUUGUGAGUUCAAGCCCCACAUUGGGCU